ACUAGUAGAAUUAAAUUAAAUCUUGAUUAGCAUCAAACGUCCAAAAUAUAGAAAACAAUUAACUCUUAUAGUCCUUCCUUUGGCAUGUAAAGAGCUGUGGAAAAUACCUAUUAUGUAGUCAGUACUGUGUAAAUGUCAGCCAGUAGAAGAGAAUGCAUGAGCCAUAUGGACACUUUGUUCUUUCACUGAUGUAGACCCAAUAUAAACCAACAUUUCCGGCAUAGAUUGAGUUUAAUAAAUAUUUGCUGAAUAAAUGAAUGGCAAAGUAGUGAAAUUAUAUAUUUGGACAUAUUUAUCUAAUGUAUGGACUUUGGGGUCCUUCCUUUAGAUCCACAUGAGUGCUGUGCUCAUGGCUGCUUCAGUGUGAUAGUUGUGGGUCCCCAAGGGGGAAAAAAAAGAGCAGAAAGGAGAGAACGAAAGCUAAAACGAAGAACUGAAAACUCUCUCCUCAAUUCUCUCAGACAGACAAUAAAGCAAAUGCCUUGGGACACUAGGAAUUAGAAAGACCGAAAAAAAAAAAAAAAAAGCCAGAACAGAAAAUAACUUCCUACAUGGUGAGCCUAAAGCUGUUCUUGCCAAGAAACUAAAAUAAGCACUGGCAGUCAGCUCAGUCAGAGCAGAGUCAACACAUAAAGUAAGAGGAUAAUCAGAAAGGACUCCUGGGUUCCUGCAAGGUGUUUCAUGCUGAAAUGUCAUGGCAAAUGCUUCUCAGAGGACCCCAACUAACACAGAAAAUAUGUAAUUACUCCAUCCUGGACGAUGCCGUUAAGCACAAAGCCUUUGAAGUCCACUGUACAUAUAAUUCAGCUGACACUGGAUUGGACUGGAGUCCAUCUAAAUAAAGUCCAAGCGUGAGCAGACAUCAAAAUAUCUUCCCCAUAAUUGCCACCAAGUUGCAGAUGCUACCAUGAUGCCAACGUUAAUUCUCUGGGCAGAUGACCUCAUCAAUGUGUCCUGGAACAUUACCUCUCCAGAACCCUGCCUCACUAGGGACAGAUAGAAACAGGCUGGGAGUUUGGAUCAACCUGCCAAUGCCCAUGUCCAGUGGAGAAGCAAUUACAUAAGCCAGACCGCCCAUCUUCUGCACCCCAUAGUGAUCCUGGGUCCAUGCUCCCACAGGGAUAAAGAAUAAAUAGGAAAGCUUCCAGUGGAGGGGAUGGGAUGCAGAACUCUGGAAGUGGGAACUGUGUGUAAGUAAACCCCUCUUAUCCAACGGAUAUGUCGAUCAUAAAUAAAUCAACUAAAAAUUUUAA